AUGCGGAGGACCCGUCAGAUCAGCUGCCGAAGCCUGACGUGGUCAGCCAACAUAGUCGGCGCGCACUGCGGACGAGCGACGUACUGCCCCAGUCGCUACAUUGCCCAACUAGCUAGGACACUCGAGCGCCUCGCCACCUCAUUCACUCUCCAGAUCCAGGCCAUCCAUGCCUUCCAGCGCCAGCCAAAGAAACGCCCUGCCGCUGCCAUCAUCGGAGCCUGUCGAGCUUCGCAGGCCGGCGCCUCUGGCGGCGGCGAGAUGAGGGGAGUGGGUGGAGGAACGAAGGGCGGCGGGAUUUUUGCCCCCGAGUCGCUACGGAGGGCGGCGCGGAGAUGGUUUUUUGGUUCUCUUUUCACUAGGAAGGGACUCGACUGCUGGGAAGGAUGUGGAGCGUAUUUUUGUGUGCUUCAAUGUCGAUGGAGCAUUGUUCGGUAUCCUGCUAGAACUUGGAGCACAAAGAUGUUGUGA
rnacentral:rRNA from 1 species